rnacentral:rRNA from 1 species
GCUGAAGCCAGUCGAAGAUACCAGCUGGCUGCAACUGUUUAUUAAAAACACAGCACUGUGCAAACACGAAAGUGGACGUAUACGGUGUGACGCCUGCCCGGUGCUGGAAGGUUAAUUGAUGGGGUCAGCCGUAAGGCGAAGCUCCUGAUCGAAGCCCCAGUAAACGGCGGCCGUAACUAUAACGGUCCUAAGGUAGCGAAAUUCCUUGUCGGGUAAGUUCCGACCUGCACGAAUGGCGUAAUGAUGGCCAGGCUGUCUCCACCCGAGACUCAGUGAAAUUGAACUCGCUGUGAAGAUGCAGUGUACCCGCGGCAAGACGGAAAGACCCCGUGAACCUUUACUAUAGCUUGACACUGAACAUUGAGCCUUGAUGUGUAGGAUAGGUGGGAGGCUUUGAAGUGUGGACGCCAGUCUGCAUGGAGCCAACCUUGAAAUACCACCCUUUAACGUUUGAUGUUCUAACCUAGGCCCAUAAACUGGGUCGGGGACCGUGUCUGGUGGGUAGUUUGACUGGGGCGGUCUCCUCCUAAAGAGUAACGGAGGAGCACGAAGGUUGGCUAAGCAUGGUCGGACAUCAUGCGGUUAGUGCAAAGGCAUAAGCCAGCUUGACUGCGAGAGUGACGGCUCGAGCAGGUACGAAAGUAGGUCUUAGUGAUCCGGUGGUUCUGAAUGGAAGGGCCAUCGCUCAACGGAUAAAAGGUACUCCGGGGAUAACAGGCUGAUACCGCCCAAGAGUUCAUAUCGACGGCGGUGUUUGGCACCUCGAUGUCGGCUCAUCACAUCCUGGGGCUGAAGUAGGUCCCAAGGGUAUGGCUGUUCGCCAUUUAAAGUGGUACGCGAGCUGGGUUUAGAACGUCGUGAGACAGUUCGGUCCCUAUCUGCCGUGGGCGUUGGAAGAUUGAGAGGGGUUGCUCCUAGUACGAGAGGACCGGAGUGAACGCACCACUGGUGUUCGGGUUGUCAUGCCAAUGGCAUUGCCCGGUAGCUAAGUGCGGAAGAGAUAACCGCUGAAAGCAUCUAAGCGGGAAACUUGCCUCGAGAUGAGUCUUCCCUGUCACUUUAAGUGACCUAAAGGAACGUUUAAGACUAAGACGUUGAUAGGCUGGGUGUGUAAGCGUAGCGAUACGUUGAGCUAACCAGUACUAAUGAACCGUGAGGCUUAACCUG